CCGUUACAAAGUGUACUUCUGAACCAGGCCUGGCUGAAGUUGUUUGUCAGAACGAAGCUGGCUCGUCCCCACUGUAGGAAAGCUGAUUUUCAUGGUCUUCUGGGAUGUACAGUGAACUGCACCUAUUUAUAUGCACUCUUCGGGGCUGGGGUGCCGCUCGUGCCAGGGUACAAGCUUCCCCAGCAUGGGGGCCCCGCUUCCAUCGCUGCUCCCAACCCGAAAGGAACCAGAAAAGCUGGCAGGACAGCAGGGUGCUGUGCGCCCCGCUGCUGCAGGACCCCCCUGUGAGCCCAGCAGAACCCCAGAAGCAGCAGCCAAGCCUCUGCGCCUGCAGCCCCACCCAGGUGCUGCCCGCCCUUCCCUGGGGCCUCUCCUCUCCUCAAGCACUGAGCCCCCCCACGGGGGUACCGGUCGGCCCCUGCUCAGAUCCAUCCCUGAAAAGAUUUCACUCUGCUCCAAAUGCUGACCUUCCAUAUCAGAGCAUGGAACCCUUGAAGCCAGUACUGCCGCUCCCUGAGCAUCUUGGACCCGCCGGGCCACAGUGGACCCGGGGAACCAGCCGAGUAGGUGCUGCCAAAUAGAUGAACAAGUCAAUCAGCAGAGCUGUUCGCUUUCAGAUCCAGUGUUCGGGAUCGUACAUUCCUCCUUGCCCUGAUUUCAGUCUGAUGCGCGGCGUGCCUUUUGCGGGUCUCAUGCCGUGAACUGUUUGCUCAGUGGACUAUUAAAACAGCGGAGCACCUGUGCCCCUCGGCCUCUGCAUCGGUGCCCUCGCCGCGCUUCUCACCCUCUGCUGUAGGCGGGUUACUCCUGUCUCUUCUGCAGCUCUCCCUCCGCCUGCCUCUCCCCUCCUUUAUUCUCAAUCUACUUCCCGCUGACACUUCCUUUUGAUUCUUUGAUGCUUUAUAGAUCCUUUGUCCCUGUUCUCAUGCUCAACUUCCGUCUGCGUUAUGUGCUUCAAUUUCAAAUCACUGGGAACAGAAGCUGAAUAUCACCGAUUGCAUCCUUAAGUCACAAAGCAGAGGGGGGAAAAGCAGAAAUCAUCUUUCUGCCUGAGUGAGACCUUCCCCGUGCCAUUAGCCAGUGGGGCUGUGGUAGAUACCAGCUGGGGUGAAAGUUGGACGUGAUCCUUGUAAUGAGAGAACUUCUGAUGCAAAUGAAAAGCAUAUGCUUUGGAAAGAUGGCCUGGGAAAAUAUAGCAAGAUACCCAAGGGGAGGAAAAUCAAACUGAA
rnacentral:lncRNA from 1 species